rnacentral:rRNA from 1 species
ACGAACGCUGGCGGCGUGCUUAACACAUGCAAGUCGAACGGUGACGAGGAGCUUGCUCCUCUGAUCAGUGGCGAACGGGUGAGUAACGCGUGGGUAACCUACCUUUCAGGCGGGGGAUAACUAUUGGAAACGAUAGCUAAUACCGCAUAACAAUGUUGGAUGCAUAUUCGACAUUUGAAAGUACCAAUUGGUACACUGAGAGAUGGACCCGCGUUGUAUUAGCUAGUUGGUAGUGUAAUGGACUACCAAGGCGAUGAUACAUAGCCGACCUGAGAGGGUGAUCGGCCACAUUGGGACUGAGACACGGCCCAAACUCCUACGGGAGGCAGCAGUAGGGAAUCUUCGGCAAUGGACGAAAGUCUGACCGAGCAACGCCGCGUGAGUGAAGAAGGUUUUCGGAUCGUAAAACUCUGUUGUUAGAGAAGAAUGUUGCAUAGAGUGGAAAAUUAUGCAAGUGACGGUAUCUAACCAGAAAGGGACGGCUAACUACGUG